AGUGAACGCUGGCGGUAGGCCUAACACAUGCAAGUCGAACGGCAGCACAGUAAGAGCUUGCUCUUACGGGUGGCGAGUGGCGGACGGGUGAGGAAUACAUCGGAAUCUACUUUUUCGUGGGGGAUAACGUAGGGAAACUUACGCUAAUACCGCAUACGACCUACGGGUGAAAGCAGGGGAUCUUCGGACCUUGCGCGAUUGAAUGAGCCGAUGUCGGAUUAGCUAGUUGGCGGGGUAAAGGCCCGCCAAGGCGACGAUCCGUAGCUGGUCUGAGAGGAUGAUCAGCCACACUGGAACUGAGACACGGUCCGGACUCCUACGGGAGGCAGCAGUGGGGAAUAUUGGACAAUGGGCGCAAGCCUGAUCCAGCCAUACCGCGUGGGUGAAGAAGGCCUUCGGGUUGUAAAGCCCUUUUGUUGGGAAAGAAAAGCAGCAGGUUAAUACCCCGCUGUUCUGACGGUACCCAAAGAAUAAGCACCGGCUAACUUCGUG
rnacentral:rRNA from 1 species